rnacentral:rRNA from 1 species
GAUGAACGCUGGCGGCGUGCCUAAUACAUGCAAGUCGAGCGAACGGACGAGAAGCUUGCUUCUCUGAUGUUAGCGGCGGACGGGUGAGUAACACGUGGAUAACCUACCUAUAAGACUGGGAUAACUUCGGGAAACCGUAGCUAAUACCGGAUAAUAUUUUGAACCGCAUGGUUCAAAAGUGAAAGACGGUCUUGCUGUCACUUAUAGAUGGAUCCGCGCUGCAUUAGCUAGUUGGUAAGGUAACGGCUUACCAAGGCAACGAUGCAUAGCCGACCUGAGAGGGUGAUCGGCCACACUGGAACUGAGACACGGUCCAGACUCCUACGGGAGGCAGCAGUAGGGAAUCUUCCGCAAUGGGCGAAAGCCUGACGGAGCAACGCCGCGUGAGUGAUGAAGGUCUUCGGAUCGUAAAACUCUGUUAUUAGGGAAGAACAUAUGCGUAAGUAACUGUGCACAUCUUGACGGUACCUAAUCAGAAAGCCACGGCUAACUACGUG